rnacentral:rRNA from 1 species
UAGCUAGUUGGUGAGGUAAAGGCUUACCAAGGCGACGAUCUGUAGCGGGUCUGAGAGGAUGAUCCGCCACACUGGAACUGAGACACGGUCCAGACUCCUACGGGAGGCAGCAGUGGGGAAUUUUGGACAAUGGGGGCAACCCUGAUCCAGCCAUGCCGCGUGAGUGAAGAAGGCCUUCGGGUUGUAAAGCUCUUUCGGCCGGGAAGAAAUCGCAUGGGCCAAUACCCUGUGUGGAUGACGGUACCGGAAUAAGAAGCACCGGCUAACUACGUGCCAGCAGCCGCGGUAAUACGUAGGGUGCGAGCGUUAAUCGGAAUUACUGGGCGUAAAGCGCGCGCAGGCGGUUUUGUAAGACAGGCGUGAAAUCCCCGGGCUUAACCUGGGAACUGCGUUUGUGACUGCAAGGCUAGAGUACGGCAGAGGGGGGUGGAAUUCCACGUGUAGCAGUGAAAUGCGUAGAGAUGUGGAGGAACACCAAUGGCGAAGGCAGCCCCCUGGGUCGAUACUGACGCUCAUGCACGAAAGCGUGGGUAGCAAACAGGAUUAGAUACCCUGGUAGUCCACGCCCUAAACUAUGUCAACUAGGUGUUGGGUGGGUAAAACCAUUUAGUACCGUAGCUAACGCGUGAAGUUGACCGCCUGGGGAGUACGGCCGCAAGGUUAAAACUCAAAGGAAUUGACGGGGACCCGCACAAGCGGUGGAUGAUGUGGAUUAAUUCGAUGCAACGCGAAAAACCUUACCUACCCUUGACAUGCCAGGAACUUGCCAGAGAUGGCUUGGUGCCCGAAAGGGAGCCUGGACACAGGUGCUGCAUGGCUGUCGUCAGCUCGUGUCGUGAGAUGUUGGGUUAAGUCCCGCAACGAGCGCAACCCUUGUCGUUAAUUGCCAUCAUUUAGUUGGGCACUUUAACGAGACUGCCGGUGACAAACCGGAGGAAGGUGGGGAUGACGUCAAGUCCUCAUGGCCCUUAUGGGUAGGGCUUCACACGUCAUACAAUGGUCGGUACAAAGGGUUGCCAAGCCGCGAGGCGGAGCCAAUCCCAGAAAGCCGAUCGUAGUCCGGAUUGCAGGCUGCAACUCGCCUGCAUGAAGUCGGAAUCGCUAGUAAUCGUGGAUCAGCAUGUCACGGUGAAUACGUUCCCGGGUCUUGUACACACCGCCCGUCACACCAUGGGAGCGGGUUCCGCCAGAAGUAGGUAGCCUAACCGCAAGGGGGGCGCUUACCACGGCGGGGUUCGUGACUGGGGUGAAGUCGAAACAAGGUAGCCGUAGGGGAACCUGCGGCUG